rnacentral:rRNA from 14 species
ACACCGACGUCGGAUCUUCCCAUCAUUGUGUCGCAAAUGUCACCAAGUGCAGGAUUGUUCACCCACUA